rnacentral:lncRNA from 1 species
GAGCAUACUUAAUAACAAGUCAAAGAUUUCAUUGUUAUAUUAUAAGAUAUUGUUUGUGUAGAACUGCUAGAGAGCUUAAUGAUAUGUCAUAAAAUCCAAGUCUCAUGAUUUUAUUAUGUGGCCUAUUCUCUUUUCCACAAUAAAAUCCAAGACUUGGAAAGGUCUUUCCAUUUUUUUUUUUUUUCAUUUUCUUAAUUGGAAGACGGUUUGGGAAGACUUUUGGGGAUUUCACACCCUUGAGUCAGAGUCAGAGUCUCUUUGGAAACUUUGCAAUUUGUGUUGGAACUGAAUGGAAUGAAAUUGAUAAGGAUGUUAUUGAUGGAUCGUCGCAUGCGCUUUACUGUACUGAUGGCCAAAGAGACCUGAGAGUGACUGUCACUUCACCUGGGUAGUUGUGGCCCUAUAUAUUUCAAAACAAAAUAAUUAGUUUUACAGAAAGUGGGUUGGAUAUUUAUGCGAUUUUACAAGGAGUAACGAGUAAAGAACAGUGAAGAGUCUUUGGCAAAACAUAAAAAACAGAUCAGUGAAAAGUUAUUGAUGAACCCAAACUCACAAACUUGCACAACUCUCUCACAAAGCCAAAGAAAACUCCCACUGACUUACUUCCUCCACUGUGGCUAGAACCGAAUACACAUU